GUCGCAAGCUUACCCUGUGAAGGACCUAUAGUAAGCAAAAUGGGUAUGACCCAGAACGUCAGGUCGAGGUGUAGCUUACGAGGUGGGAAGAAAUGGGCUACAUUUUCUAUGCCAGAACAUACGAACAGCACCAUGAAAUUAGUGCUUGAAGGUGGAUUUAGCAGUAAAAAAUAAGUAGAGCGUAUUUUUGAAUCAGGCUCUGAGACGCGCACACACCGCCCGUCACUCUCCCCAACACAACAAAACUCAGUAAAUAACCAACUUCACUCAAAACGGGGAGGCAAGUCGUAACAUGG
rnacentral:rRNA from 1 species